CGUGUGCACUUCCGAUCUUUCAGACAUUUGGUGUAUGUGCUUGGCUGAGGAGCCAAUGGUGCAAAGCUACCAUCUGUGGGAUUAUGACUGAACACCUCUACGUCAGAAUCCUGCCUAGACGAAGCGAUACCGAAGCGCCGUGGAUUUUCG